rnacentral:lncRNA from 1 species
UUUCAGAUGGGCAUGAGAAUUCAUCAGGAGAUGUGAGAUUUUUUGAUGGAUGCGAGAUGACGUGUGGAAGGGGCGUGAAUAAUUUCUGAAGGCAACCCAUCGCUAAGUAUUUAAAGGGGGGUGCGCCGGGGGAUUGGAUUCAUUCAGAUUUCCAAUUCCUCCUUUUUUUGAACAUUCUCUCCCUACUGUUCAAUUAGUCCCUUCCUUCUCUUAUUAGGACAAAUCCAAAAUAGUAAGGACAAGUUCAAUUUUAGGACA